GAUGAACGCUGGCGGCGUGCCUAAUACAUGCAAGUCGAGCGAAUGGAUUAAGAGCUUGCUCUUAUGAAGUUAGCGGCGGACGGGUGAGUAACACGUGGGUAACCUGCCCAUAAGACUGGGAUAACUCCGGGAAACCGGGGCUAAUACCGGAUAACAUUUUGAACCGCAUGGUUCGAAAUUGAAAGGCGGCUUCGGCUGUCACUUAUGGGUGGACCCGCGUCGCAUUAGCUAGUUGGUGAGGUAACGGCUCACCAAGGCAACGAUGCGUAGCCGACCUGAGAGGGUGAUCGGCCACACUGGGACUGAGAAACGGCCCAGACUCCUACGGGAGGGAGCAGUAGGGAAUCUUCCGCAAUGGACGAAAGUCUGACGGAGCAACGCCGCGUGAGUGAUGAAGGCUUUCGGGUCGUAAAACUCUGUUGUUAGGGAAGAACAAGUGCUAGUUGAAUAAGCUGGCACCUUGACGGUACCUAACCAGAAAGCCACGGCUAACUACGUGCCAGCCGCCGCGGUAA
rnacentral:rRNA from 1 species